UUGAGUCCAUGGAGCGAGCUGAGAGCUAGAGAACCUGCUAAGGCCAUCAAACCUAUCGAUCGGAAGUCAGUCCAUCAGAUUUGCUCUGGGCCGGUGGUACUGAGUCUAAGCACUGCGGUGAAGGAGUUAGUAGAAAACAGUCUGGAUGCUGGUGCCACCAAUAUUGCGAUGUCACCAUUUCUACCUGCCACGCAUCGGCGAAGGUUGGGACUCGACUGGUGUUUGAUCACGAUGGGAAAAUCAUCCAGAAAACCCCCUACCCCCACCCCAGAGGGACCACAGUCAGCGUGAAGCAGUUAUUUUCUACACUACCUGUGCACCAUAAGGAAUUUCAAAGGAAUAUUAAGAAGACGUGCCUGUUUCCCCUUCGCCUUCUGCCGUGAUUGUCAGUUUCCUGAGGCCUCCCCAGCCAUGCUUCCUGUACAGCCUGCAGAACUGUG
rnacentral:lncRNA from 10 species